rnacentral:rRNA from 1 species
AACGAACGCUGGCGGCAGGCCUAACACAUGCAAGUCGAGCGCCCUUUCGGGGGAGCGGCGGCCGGGUGAGUAACGCGUGGGAAUAUGCCCUUCUCUACGGAAUAGCCUCGGGAAACUGAGAGUAAUACCGUAUACGCCCUGUGGGGGAAAGAUUUAUCGGGGAAGGAUUAGCCCGCGUUGGAUUAGGUAGUUGGUGGGGUAAUGGCCUACCAAGCCGACGAUCCAUAGCUGGUUUGAGAGGAUGAUCAGCCACACUGGGACUGAGACACGGCCCAGACUCCUACGGGAGGCAGGAGUGGGGAAUCUUAGACAAUGGGGGCAACCCUGAUCGAGCCAUGCCGGGUGAGUGAUGAAGGCCUUAGGGUUGUAAAGCUCUUUCAGCUGGGAAGAUAAUGACGGUACCAGCAGAAGAAGCCACGGCUAACUCCGUG